UGUUUUUAGAAAGAUGCGCAUGUACUAAUACUUGCAUGUUUUUUUGCAGAAUAUACCUUCAUCAAAACACACAAUGGACAUCAAUUGAUGUUAUAUAAAGGCUAUACGUAUUCCAAAAGUACUCCGAAUCACUUCUAUUGUUCAAAGAGAGAAAAGGGUUGUAAAGCGAAGGUGAAAACUGGUAAAAAUGGUCGCGUUGUUAACACAGAAGUAAUAAAACAUGAUCAUCCACCACCAAAGUAUGUUCCGACAAAGUUUGGAUACUAUAUCAAAGUUUUUUCGUAAAAAAUAUUUUGUAUAUAACCGGAAUAUUCAAAUAGGAUAAAAUAAAUUAUUUUGUAAAAAUUUAUCAUAUCUCAGUUUCUGUUAAUUUGAUUCAUCAUCUCACAUACCUUUUCCCAAAUAUGUAGGGGUCGGCUUCCAGUCUAAGAUGUAGCUGAGUACCUGUAUUUUAUGGAGCUACUGACUUGAUUGUUUACUAUAUUUGUUUUAUGUAUAUGUUUAAAAUAAAUAUGUUAACCCAAAAGAUCAAAUUCCAGGUGCUUAUUUUUCAUACAAAAUGAUACCGACAAAACGGGGGAAGUUUUUGCUGAUGUUUCAAGGAUACACGUUUUCUCAACAGCAUCAGACCCUGAACUACUAUUGUUCUAAGAAGGAUGCUGGAUGCAAGGCUCGGAUUAAACUGGAUAGAAAUGGCAAAAUUAUGCCAACAUCCCAUCCCAUACAUUUCCAUCCACCUCCGAAAUACAUGGUGAUGCCAAAAGGAGAUUAUAUUAAAUUAUCAUAAUUGUAAGGACUCAAAUUUUUUCGGUACUUGGACAUAAUAUACACUUUCUUUGGAGUAUUCGAUGUUUUGUCUCUGUGUGCAUUCGUUGUGCAUCAGAAUCCAAAACUUUCAUGUUUUUCGAUUUAAGUCAAGAAGUAGGAAAACAAAUCUACUACUAUCCACUCUACCAGCACAUGAUUGUUACCAAUUAGGUACCUAGCUAAAAUUGAAAUAGGUAUAUAAAAAGUAUUUUCGGUAUUUUUGCGGACUAUUAAUUAUAGGCUAGUUAUAUGAUACGAGUUUUGUAGUGUACAGUGUUAAGUUUUUUCUAAGAUAAUAAAGAAAAUAUAACGCCUUAUCUUUACUUAAAAAUAUGAACAUCUAUUGUUUUUAUUUUAAACAUUAAUUGUGCACCGUGACCCCUUUCCUUUACCUCUUCCAAAUCAUAUACCUCAAUCAAUGUAUUUUUUACAGAUGAUUUUAAAUAUGUUUAUGUACAAUCUCAAAUGGGGAAGCCAUUGAUUCUUAUUGGAGGAUACACUUUCUCUCACUGGAGAGGAGCUUGGACAUGUUCUACAAAAAACCCAAAUUGCAGAGCGAGGCUGAGGUUGGACGAGAAUGAAAAAAUUGUUACGAAUACACUUACGUGACAUCACAAAUGGGGAAGAAGUUGAUUCUCAUAGGAGGGCACACGUUCUCCCAAGCUUACGGUCGGUGUUGGGUUUGUUCCACGAAAAACCCGCUGUGCAAGGCGAAACUCAAGUUGGACGAUAAUCAAAGAAUUGUCGAGCUUUUCAACGAACAUCCCCAUCGAGAGAGAUAUGGUCUCAUUGGCGGGAAAUAUGUGCGUUUGUAAAAAAAUUAAUACAUAACGAGUUGAACAGGAUAAAGAGUCCUUUGAGUAUUCAAAACGAAUGAUCCGUAUUGCUUACUACAGUUUUUGAAUUUGUUUUUUUUUUCAUAGUUAGUUUAAUUAAACAAUAAGUCAAUUUACUAUAUUUCUUGUUACGAUGCCUUACUUAUAUAAAUACAUAUUUUAUAAUAAAUACCUUGAAAUAGUAUAGUAAUUCUCUUAACCAACAGUUUUCUUUCAAAACGUUAAUGUAUUGAUUAUGCCUAGUUAUUAACUGAGAAUUUAUAGAUUCUUAUUUACACCUAUCUUGUUAUUUACACAGUUAUUAAAAAUAAACGAUAUUCACACAUUUCUAUUAUUCUGUCUAUUGUUUAUUUGUCAUCGGUCCUCAGUACGUAAGUAGCUACUGUAUCGACUAGCCAACAUUUUGAACUUGCUUUUUUGCUGAUGACGACGAUCGCCAAGUCCCAUUAUCACUGACAGUAUAAAUGUAACUUUUAUUCUAAAAACGACUGUUGUAAAUUAAAAUGUAUCAGGCGUUUUACAUUUGCAGAAUACCAGAUAGUGAAAUCUCAACGCGGGAGAGACUUGAUACUUAUAAAUGGAUAUACAUUUGCUCGAACAUCUCCGUACCGGUGGAUUUGUUCUACACAUUAUCCUGGCUGCAAGGCCGUAUUGAGACUGACCUCAGACGGCAAAGUCCGUGAGCUCACGGACCAUUCGCAUCCAGUUAGAAGAUAUGUAAUAACGGGUGAUGGACAAAUUAGAUAUCAUCAGUGUUAUUUUCGAGGAUCCGAGCAAGAUCCGUAAUUCAAUUAAGGAUUUUAGUCCAUUAAUCAAACACAUCCUGUAAGUUUUUAUAAGUACCUUUUGGGAAUAAACGAUCUUCACAUACUUAUUAAAAUGCUUUCCUACUGGUUUUGUCUAGUGAUUAUUUCUCAUUGGUCGUCAGUUCGUAAGUUUACGUUGUAUAAGACGCUCCUCAGACAGUCAAUGUAAUUACACAAUAUAACGAUGUGUGUUUAACAUUUGCAGAAUACCAGAUAGUGAAAUCUCAACGAGGGAGAGACUUGAUACUUAUAAAUGGAUACACAUUUGCUCGAGCGACCCCUUACCGGUGGACCUGUUCAACGCAUUACCCUGAGUGCAAGGCCGUCUUGAGACUGACCCUAGAUGGAAAAGUUCGUGACGUCACCAAUCAUUCGCAUCCAGUCAGAAAAUAUGUGAUAACGAGUCAAGGAAAAUAUAUUAGAUUUAAAUAAUUUUAUUUUCGGAGAUCCAAGCAAUUUGCAUAUCACUUAUUUGAUCUGAAUCCAUAGUAUCUGUUAUGUAACAAUGUUCAGUAGAGAUGUCGACGAAAUUCUUUCUUUGGCUCUUUUGAAUGACGAUGUCGAAUCUGAUAACGAAGCUACUGACCAUGAAGAGACUGAAAGUGAGGAGACUGAAGGAGUAGAGAGUCAAGUAGAGGAGUCUAGUACUGAAACAAAUGAAGUUGUUAUACCUGAGAAUGAUAAAGGCCUGACUAAAAAGGGUUUGCCAAGGAAAAGACAUAAAUAUGAUAAAACCAUUGGGAAUAGACGAAUAAGGCUAUACAAAGACAAGGCUGAUCAAAAGCUAACAAUGAAACCACCGUGUAAUGAAAAAUGUCGCAGACAAUGUACAACUAAGAUUUCUGAAGAAAUGAGAAAACAAAUACAUGAUUGUUACGUAAGUUUUGAUUCGGAGUCUAGAGGAAUGUUCAUUAAGGAAUUAGUUGAACCACAGGAAGUAAAAAAAAGAAAAACAAAAUUUCGAUGUAAGAGUAGGGAUGUUGCAUAUUCCUAUCAUUUUCAAGUUGGUGACGAAAGAAUUCAAGUUUGCAAAACAUUUUUUUUAACCACACUUGGGUACAAACGGCGGAAUGACACCCAUGUUUACUUAACACUCAAAAAGGAAAUUGAUGAUUUGCAAGAAAAACGAGGUAAAUACUUACGCAAGAAGAAAAAUAGUCAAGGACAUGUGUAAAACGUUAAUGCAACAAUUUCAGACUAGCAUCGUAAGCAUGCUUCUAAACAUUGUCUGACAAGUGACAUGAAUGUCAUGAUGAUACACCAAUUCUUCACGGGUAAACAUAUUGAUCUCUUCCAAGCGUCAAAAUAUUGUAACCAAUAUUGAUACUUCUUAUUUAACCACUUAAUAUAAUUUAGAACAUUUAAAUUGUAA